rnacentral:rRNA from 1 species
GACGAACGCUGGCGGCGUGCUUAACACAUGCAAGUCGAACGGAAAGGCCCUGCUUUUGUGGUGUGCUCGAGUGGCGAACGGGUGAGUAACACGUGAGUAACCUGCUCUUGACUUUGGGAUAACUUCAGGAAACUGGGGCUAAUACCGGAUAGGAGCCCCCGCUCCAUGGAGGGCGUUGGAUAGUUUCGGCGGUUGGGGAUGGACUCGCGGCUUACCAGCUUGUUGGUUGGGUAGUGGCUUACCAAGGCAUUGACGGAUAGCCGGCAUGAGAGGGUGAACGGCCACAAUGGGACUGAGAUACGGAGCAGACGGGUACGGUAGGCAGCAGUGGGGAAUAUGGCACAGUGGGCGGAAGCCGGAUACGACAACGCCGCGGGUGUGAUGACGGCCUUCGGGUUGAAAACCGCUUUCGCCUGUGACGAAGCGUGAGUGACGGUAAUGGGUAAAGAAGCACCGGCUAACUACGUG